UACGUAGGGAGCAAGCGUUGUCCGGAAUCAUUGGGCGUAAAGCGCGCGUAGGUGGCUUCGUAAGUCCGUUGUGAAAGUCAAAGGCCCAACCUUUGAAUGCCGAUGGAUACUGCGGAGCUAGAGUACGGAAGAGGCGAGUGGAAUUCCUGGUGUAGCGGUGGAAUGCGCAGAUAUCAGGAGGAACACCAAUAGCGAAGGCAGCUCGCUGGGACGUUACUGACACUAAGGCGCGAAAGCGUGGGGAGCGAACAGG
rnacentral:rRNA from 1 species